AGUGAACGCUGGCGGUAGGCCUAACACAUGCAAGUCGAACGGCAGCACAGUAAGAGCUUGCUCUUACGGGUGGCGAGUGGCGGACGGGUGAGGAAUACAUCGGAAUCUACUUUUUCGUGGGGGAUAACGUAGGGAAACUUACGCUAAUACCGCAUACGACCUACGGGUGAAAGCAGGGGAUCUUCGGACCUUGCGCGAUUGAAUGAGCCGAUGUCGGAUUAGCUAGUUGGCGGGGUAAAGGCCCACCAAGGCGACGAUCCGUAGCUGGUCUGAGAGGAUGAUCAGCCACACUGGAACUGAGACACGGUCCAGACUCCUACGGGAGGCAGCAGUGGGGAAUAUUGGACAAUGGGCGCAAGCCUGAUACAGCCAUACCGCGUGGGUGAAGAAGGCCUUCGGGUUGUAAAGCCCUUUUGUUGGGAAAGAAAAGCAGCAGGUUAAUACCCCGCUGUCCUGACGGUACCCAAAGAAUAAGCACCGGCUAACUUCGUG
rnacentral:rRNA from 1 species